rnacentral:rRNA from 1 species
AACGCUGGCGGCGCGCUUAACACAUGCAAGUCGAACGAGAAAGUGGAGCAAUCCAUGAGUAAAGUGGCGUACUGGUGAGUAACACGUGGGUAAUCUACCUCUGGGUGGGGAAUAACUCUGGGAAACCGGAGCUAAUACCGCAUAAGCCUGUAAAGGGAAAGGCGAAAGUCGCCGAGAGAGGAGCCCGCGGCUGAUUAGCUAGUUGGUGGGGUAAGAGCUCACCAAGGCUGAGAUCGGUAGCCGGCCUGAGAGGGCACACGGCCACACUGGCACUGAAACACGGGCCAGACUCCUACGGGAGGCAGCAGUGGGGAAUCUUGCACAAUGGGGGAAACCCUGAUGCAGCGACGCCGCGUGAGCGAUGAAGCCCUUCGGGGUGUAAAGCUCUUUCGGCAGGGACGAUAAUGACGGUACCUGCAGAAGAA